AACGAACGCUGGCGGCAUGCCUAACACAUGCAAGUCGAACGAGACCUUCGGGCCUAGUGGCGCACGGGGGCGUAACGCGUGGGAACCUGCCCUUAGGUUCGGAAUAACUCCCCGAAAGGGGUGCUAAUACCGGAUAAUGUCUUCGGACCAAAGAUUUAUCGCCUUUGGAUGGGCCCGCGUUGGAUUAGCUAGUUGGUAGGGUAAAAGCCUACCAAGGCGACGAUCCAUAGCUGGUCUGAGAGGAUGAUCAGCCACACUGGAACUGAGACACGGCCCAGACUCGUACGGGAGGGAGCAGUGGAGAAUAUUGGACGAUGGAGGAAAGCCUGAUCCAGCAAUGCCGCGUGAGUGAUGAAGGCCUUAGGGUUGUAAAGCUCUUUUAGCCGGGAUGAUAAUGACAGUACCGGGAGAAUAAGCUCCGGCUAACUACGUG
rnacentral:rRNA from 1 species